GAGUUUGAUCGUGGCUCAGAUUGAACGCUGGCGGCAUGCCUUACACAUGCAAGUCGAACGGCAGCAUGAUCUAGCUUGCUAGAUUGAUGGCGAGUGGCGAACGGGUGAGUAAUACAUCGGAACGUGCCCUGUAGUGGGGAUAACUAGUCGAAAGAUUAGCUAAUACCGCAUACGACCUGAGGGUGAAAGUGGGGGACCGCAAGGCCUCAUGCUAUAGGAGCGGCCGAUGUCUGAUUAGCUAGUUGGUGGGGUAAAGGCCGACCAAGGCGACGAUCAGUAGCUGGUCUGAGAGGACGAGUCAGCCACACUGGGACUGAGACACGGCCCAGACUCCUACGGGAGGCAGCAGUGGGGAUUUUGGACAAUGGGCGAAAGCCUGAUCCAGCAAUGCCGCGUGUGUGAAGAAGGCCUCGGUUGUAA
rnacentral:rRNA from 1 species